rnacentral:rRNA from 1 species
GAUGAACGCUGGCGGCGUGCUUAACACAUGCAAGUCGAACGGUGAAGCCUUCGGGUGGAUCAGUGGCGAACGGGUGAGUAACACGUGAGCAAUCUGCCCUUGACUCUGGGAUAACUUCGGGAAACCGGAGCUAAUACCGGAUAUGACAUCUGGCCGCAUGGUCUGGGUGUGGAAAGAUUUAUCGGUCAAGGAUGAGCUCGCGGCCUAUCAGCUUGUUGGGGGGUAAUGGCCCACCAAGGCGACGACGGGUAGCCGGCCUGAGAGGGCGACCGGCCACACUGGGACUGAGACACGGCCCAGACUCCUACGGGAGGCAGCAGUGGGGAAUAUUGCGCAAUGGGCGGAAGCCUGACGCAGCGACGCCGCGUGAGGGAUGAAGGCC